rnacentral:rRNA from 1 species
GCCCAAUGAUUUAAAAAUAUUUAUAAAAAACUCAAAUAAAGAAUUUAAUGGCUGCAGUAACUAUGACUGUAUGAAUGUAGCAUAAUCACUCGCCACUUAAUUGGUGGAUUGUAUGAAUGGUUUAACGAAAAUUCCUCUGUCUUAUAAAAUAAAAAAUGAAAAAUUGAAAUUAUAGUUAAGAUGCUAUAUAAAACUGUAAGACGAAAAGACCCUAUAAAGCUUAACUAUAAUCUUUCUAAUAUAAAUAAAAAAAAUUAAUAAUAAUAGAAAGAUAGGUAGUUUCAUUGGGGCGAUGGUCUCUAAAAACAAACAGAGAUAAACAAAAUUAAUAAAACAAUUUACUGUUUAAUUUAUAAAUUUAACAGUUACAAAGUAGGUUAUAAUGACCCAUUAUAUUUUAAAAUAGAAAAUAAUGAUCUUUAAAUAAAAGCUACUUUAGGGAUAACAGGAUAAUAUUUUCCAAGAGUUCUUAUCGAAGAAAAAGUUUAUCACCUCGAUGUUGAAUUAAGAUAACCUA